rnacentral:rRNA from 1 species
GCUUACGGCCAUACCACCCUGAGCAUGCCUGACCUCGUCUGAUCUCGGAAGCUAAGCAGGGCUGGAGCUUGGUUAGUACUUGGAUGGGAGACUUCCUUGGAAUACCUGGUGCUGUAAGCC